rnacentral:rRNA from 1 species
CUGCAGUCGAACGGCAGCACGGGUGCUUGCACCUGGUGGCGAGUGGCGAACGGGUGAGUAAUACAUCGGAACAUGUCCUGUAGUGGGGGAUAGCCCGGCGAAAGCCGGAUUAAUACCGCAUACGAUCCACGGAUGAAAGCGGGGGACCUUCGGGCCUCGCGCUAUAGGGUUGGCCGAUGGCUGAUUAGCUAGUUGGUGGGGUAAAGGCCUACCAAGGCGACGAUCAGUAGCUGGUCUGAGAGGACGACCAGCCACACUGGGACUGAGACACGGCCCAGACUCCUACGGGAGGCAGCAGUGGGGAAUUUUGGACAAUGGGCGAAAGCCUGAUCCAGCAAUGCCGCGUGUGUGAAGAAGGCCUUCGGGUUGUAAAGCACUUUUGUCCGGAAAGAAAUCCUUGGCUCUAAUACAGUCGGGGGAUGACGGUACCGGAAGAAUAAGCACCGGCUAACUACGUGCCAGCAGCCGCGGUAAUACGUAGGGUGCAAGCGUUAAUCGGAAUUACUGGGCGUAAAGCGUGCGCAGGCGGUUUGCUAAGACCGAUGUGAAAUCCCCGGGCUCAACCUGGGAACUGCAUUGGUGACUGGCAGGCUAGAGUAUGGCAGAGGGGGGUAGAAUUCCACGUGUAGCAGUGAAAUGCGUAGAGAUGUGGAGGAAUACCGAUGGCGAA